rnacentral:lncRNA from 1 species
UUUUCUUUUGCCACCAAAAUGAUAUUAAAUCCAGCAAUUCAAUGUUCUAAUCAAAUGCACAAAACCCACCAAAGACCCAGUCUUAGCUGCACCAAAGUCCGUUCAGAGGCUACAUUUUCCCCCAGCUUGUCCAGCCACAGUGACUCAUACAUUCACAGCAAGGAGAGGUAAAAUAUUUCUGGAUCUCUAAAGCAAGAGAUGAUUUUUUUCCAUUGAAUUUUGCAUUCAUUAAUUUCAUUUCAAGAAUGAAGUCAGCCUUUCUUUUUUUUUUUUUUUUUUUAAUGUGGCUGGUUAUUUGACGAGUGAAGCUUUAGAUUUGUGAGUUGUUCUGCAAGCCAAAACAUGCUCCCUUUCAUUCAUAACACUGAGCUGCUCUGCGUUAAACAGCCGAUUAUCAUGAAUGAAGUGGGUGUAACUUCCUUGAAAUCCUCCAAAGACCUGUCAAAGCAGAGCUACUGCAGCUCAGUUUUCUCCUUGAAGCGUACAGAUCAUUGGUUUAAUUGUUCCACACUGAUCUUGAAAUAUGCUUUCUUGGUUCAAAGCAUUAGGCGGUAUCACUUUUUGAGGAGGAAAAGGGAAGGGUGGAGAAUGGUGCCUCAGGAUAAGAGAGAAAAGUGGGUAUAUGUCUCAACCAUCAAAUUUAGAUUUUCUUUUGGAAUCUAAAUUGAGCUUCAUCCAUUUAAAAGUGUGUCAGACAAAACCUCACAAAUCAAAGCCCUGGCCUGUUUUGCAUGGAUAAUCAAGAGCCUCUGGCUCUUUUUGUAAGUGGGAAUGCUUAACCCUAAAGAGAAGAGGGCUGAUCCUAUGGUUAAAGUGCUGGCCAUGAUUUAAAAAGUUUCAAUUUGACUCCAUGUCUGCCAUUCUCCAUCCCAUUUUCAACCUUUUGGUGCUGUCCCAAUGUUAAAAUCUUUAGAAAGGAAUAUGCUGAUUGAUAUUUGUGAACUGCAGGGGCCUUUGAGCUUAGAGACUGAAAGACUGCAUAUACACAAAUAUACUACCAUCUAUGAACCUGUUUAAUAUAAAGAUCUUUCCAAGGAUGGCCAUUGUCUUUAAUAAAAAGACGUGCAGCAUCUCAGCUCUUUGUCUUAUCACACUUUAUCACACACCAAUGUAUGAAUCUUGGCCAGUAAUUAAUUGUGAUAGCACCAUUGACUUUGGCACACCUACUAAAUACUCCUCCCUGUGA